rnacentral:rRNA from 1 species
AUGGUGCCCGUCACCUGUUCGACGGAGUGCUCGACCCAGGUCGACACCAUCGACAGCGUCGACGAGGUCCAUGACACCACUACUUCCAUCUUCCCCACGCCCACAGUCGACAUCCAGCAUGCCCUCGACACCACCGUCCACGUCGCCAAGGGUUUGGGACCAUCCAAUGGUGACGACGAGUUCGUCCGCACCAUCGGCACUCCGCCGCUCGCGUCGCCAACAAUGCUGAUGUCGCUGCUUCCAGCAACCUCCCCGGCGCCUAUCACCGACUCUGCUCAUCGUGCCAUUAACGGCGACUCUAUCCCGCGGGUGCCCCUGGACAUGGAGGAAGUGCUUUUGCUCACUCAAGCCCCUUGCAUGGUUUCAGUCGUCACUUCUAUGCAGCUGCUCGUGAACCGUGACUUGGACGACUCCCUGCCAACAAAGUGUUCACAUGUCUGCCUCAGUGACACACCUAUGUCCUCAUUAAGCAUGAUGGUGUCUCCGCGCAUCAGGCACGAGACGCUAGUGCUACGGCCGAUGCCGUGGCCAUCGCUUUUGAAGGAUUCCACAGAGGGAUACAAGGUACGACCUGUUGCAUGGCCGUCUUUUGCUUGCUUGAUCUCCAUGGUGCCAAGAGAUAUGCAUGUCCUGAGUCAGCCGAUAAUGCAAGUUGUGGGUGAUCUGAACCUGGGUAUUGUGGAACGGGGACUAGUUACCUGUUCUAUGGCCGCACAUUCAUUUAUGAGCAUACAACAAAUGGGCGCUCUAAGCACAGGAUGUUCUAAUAAUAUUUUUCUUCACUUCAUGCUAAGUGCGCAAUAUGAACUAGGCUGUGUUGCUGUUAUUUACUUGCUUGAGGAAUUUUUGAGCCCAGUUAACCUUGAGUGGCGACCGGAAAGGCCACUGCUAGUAAAAGCUAAUUCCAGCAAGUUGUGUUCAUUCGGGAAGUGUGAUUCAUAUUCCACAUUAUGCUUGUUCCCUCGGAAUCCAGGGGAUUAUUUGCUCAGAAUAACCAUGGGGUUUCUUACUGCUAGCAGUGGUUCACAAUGGCAUGUUAGGUGUAUCAUUGCGCAGUCCAGUCAGUGCUUCUCUCGGAUUGUAAAAAUCGAGUGGUUGUUUCCUAUUUGUCCGAAGAUGAUGACAUGGUGCUUGGUUUUACUAUCUCCUGCUGACAAUGAUUAUGAGCUGUGGCGUUGA